AUAAUUAUGAAGAAAAAGCGAUAGUUAAAAGAAUUUUAGAUUUAAAUAAUACAAGAUACAAACAAAUCGCUCUAAAUAAAAAAUAUGACAUAUUGUUAUGCUGUGGAAAUAAUAAUAUUUUUAUGUACUACGAUUUAGUUAAAUAUAAUAUUGUGAAACAUUUUUAUUAUUCUCCUUUUCACACUAUUCAUUCGGUUGACAUUGAAAUUAACGGAAACUAUUUUAUAACAGGAUCUGACGAUGGCAAAAUAAGACUAUAUGUAUUCAAAAGUUGCACAUGCUUAUAUAUAGGCAAUGCUCAUAAUGACUCUAUAAAUAAAUGUCUUUUUACAUUUGAUAAUCAUUUUAUUAUUUCAGCGUCGAAAGAUGAAAGUAUAAUUUAUUGGAGAGUACCACCUGAAACAAAAGAAAUAAAAGAAGCAGAAUGAUUUGAAAAGCAAAAAAAAAAAAAAAUAUAUAUAAAUCAAAAUUAAAUUUAAAUAAGCGGCAAAUAACUUAUAUUUUAAACAUGUUCUUCACAUAUGAAGUCUAUUAAUAAAGCCAAAUAAAUUUUAUAUAUGUUGUCUAUU
rnacentral:lncRNA from 1 species